rnacentral:rRNA from 1 species
UUUCGAAUCUUUCACAAUGGGCGAAAGCCUGAUGGAGCAACGCCGCGUGGGGGAUGAAUGCCUUCGGGUUGUAAACCCCUGUCACCAAGGAUAAACCGUAGUCGGUUAACACCCGACUGCCUGAUGUAACUUGGAGAGGAAGAGGUGGCUAACUCUGUGCCAGCAGCCGCGGUAAUACAGAGACCUCAAGCGUUAUUCGGAUUUACUGGGCGUAAAGGGUGCGCAGGCGGCCAGGUGUGUCGGAGGUGAAAUUUUGCAGCUUAACUGUAAAACGUGCCUUCGAAACUACCUGGCUAGAGUAUCGGAGAGGUAAGCGGAAUUCCAGGUGUAGCAGUGAAAUGCGUAGAUAU